rnacentral:misc_RNA from 1 species
UACGAGGAAGGCUAGCGUUAUCCGGAAUUAUUGGGCGUAAAGCGUGCGCAAGCGGUUUUGUAAGUCAUAUGUUAAAUACCCAGGCUUAACCUGGGAAGAGCAUGUGAUACUGCAAGACUUGAGGCGAGCAGAGGCAGACGGAAUUCCCGGUGUAGUAGUGAAAUGCGCUGAUAUCGGGAGGAACACCAAAAGCGAAGGCAGUUUGCUGGGCUCGCUCUGACGCCGAUGCACGACAGCGUGGGGAGCAAACGGG